CCGUUUUCGUUAUACGAUUCCCCCACGGGCCUAUAGCUCAAUGGUUAGAGCAGGGGACUCAUCGAAAGGUGUCGCCGCCCAGGAAUGGGCGGACGAGAACGGGAUGAAUUCAGGGAAACCGCAGCGGCGUGGCGACACGGCCGGCGGCAAUCCUGAGCCAAGCCGGCGGUACACCGCCGGAAGGUGCAGAGACUACCUGGGGGCUCGAGUGCCCUUGAUGACAGGCUAGAGCGUCCCGCACCCCACUCGCCGAGGCGAAGGGUGAAGAGAUAGUCCGCGCCGGGGGAAACUCCGGG
rnacentral:ribozyme from 1 species